rnacentral:rRNA from 1 species
GAGUUUGAUCCUGGCUCAGAACGAACGCUGGCGGCGUGCUUAACACAUGCAAGUCGAACGUGAUUGAGAGCUUGCUCUCAUGAAAGUGGCGCACGGGUGAGUAACACGUGGAUAAUCUGCCUGGCGAUUCGGGAUAACACUUCGAAAGGGGUGCUAAUACCGGAUAAGCCCACGGUCUCUUCGGAGAGUGCGGGAAAAGGGGGCCUCWGUAUAUGCUCCUGUCGCUAGAUGAGUCCGCGGCCCAUUAGCUAGUUGGUAGGGUAAUGGCCUACCAAGGCUWCGAUGGGUAGCUGGUYUGAGAGGWUGAUCAGCCMCACYKGAACUGAGACACGSUCCAGASUCSUACGGGAGGCAGCAGUGGGGAAUUUUGCGCAAUGGKYGWAAGCCUSACGCAGCAACGCCGCGUGAGUGAYGAAGKCCUUCGGGUMGUAAASCUCUGUCAGAGGGGAAGAACCGCCGGGUKGMUAAUACCUSCSUGGUCUGACGGUACCCUCAAAGGAAGCACCGGCUAACUCCGUGCCAGCAGCCGCGGUAAUAC